rnacentral:rRNA from 1 species
GAAGGUAGCAUAAUAAUUAGGCUAUUAAUUGUAGUCUUGUAUGAANGGUUGAACAUAGGAAAUUCUUUCUUAUNUGUAUNGUUGAAUUUAAAUAAUUAGUAAAAAUGCUAAUGUGAGUUAAAGGGACGAGAAGACCCUAUUGAGUUUUAUAUUUAAGUUUUUGGUUUNUUUGAUAAGUUAUAUGAUGAGUAAUAUUUGGUUGGGGUGACUAUUUUAGGUAAACAUUAUAUUUUAUUUGUGUUAAUUUUUGAUCCCCUAUUAGUGAUUAAUAGAAUAAAUUACCAUAGGGAUAACAGCAUAAUUUAUUNGGAGAGUUCUUAUUGAUNAAUAAGUUUGUGACCUCGAUGUUGGAUU